UGGGGAAUUUUGGACAAUGGGCGCAAGCCUGAUCCAGCCAUGCCGCGUGCAGGAUGAAGGCCUUCGGGUUGUAAACUGCUUUUGUACGGAACGAAAAGGUGCCUUCUAAUAAAGGGCGCUCAUGACGGUACCGUAAGAAUAAGCACCGGCUAACUACGUGCCAGCAGCCGCGGUAAUACGUAGGGUGCGAGCGUUAAUCGGAAUUACUGGGCGUAAAGCGUGCGCAGGCGGUUUUGUAAGACAGAUGUGAAAUCCCCGGGCUUAACCUGGGAACUGCGUUUGUGACUGCAAGGCUGGAGUACGGCAGAGGGGGGUGGAAUUCCACGUGGAGCAGUGAAAUGCGUAGAGAUGUGGAGGAACACCGAUGGCGAAGGCAGCCCCCUGGGCCUGUACUGACGCUCAUGCACGAAAGCGUGGGGAGCAAACA
rnacentral:rRNA from 1 species